GUGCUAAACAUGCAAGUCGAGCGGACAGAAGGGAGCUUGCUCCCGGAUGUUAGCGGCGGACGGGUGAGUAACACGUGGGUAACCUGCCUGUAAGACUGGGAUAACUCCGGGAAACCGGAGCUAAUACCGGAUAGUUCCUUGAACCGCAUGGUUCAAGGAUGAAAGACGGUUUCGGCUGUCACUUACAGAUGGACCCGCGGCGCAUUAGCUAGUUGGUGGGGUAAUGGCUCACCAAGGCGACGAUGCGUAGCCGACCUGAGAGGGUGAUCGGCCACACUGGGACUGAGACACGGCCCAGACUCCUACGGGAGGCAGCAGUAGGGAAUCUUCCGCAAUGGACGAAAGUCUGACGGAGCAACGCCGCGUGAGUGAUGAAGGUUUUCGGAUCGUAAAGCUCUGUUGUUAGGGAAGAACAAGUGCGAGAGUAACUGCUCGCACCUUGACGGUACCUAACCAGAAAGCCACGGCUAACUACGUGCCAGCAGCCGCGGUAAUACGUAGGUGGCAAGCGUUGUCCGGAAUUAUUGGGCGUAAAGGGCUCGCAGGCGGUUUCUUAAGUCUGAUGUGAAAGCCCCCGGCUCAACCGGGGAGGGUCAUUGGAAACUGGGAAACUUGAGUGCAGAAGAGGAGAGUGGAAUUCCACGUGUAGCGGUGAAAUGCGUAGAGAUGUGGAGGAACACCAGUGGCGAAGGCGACUCUCUGGUCUGUAACUGACGCUGAGGAGCGAAAGCGUGGGGAGCGAACAGGAUUAGAUACCCUGGUAGUCCACGCCGUAAACGAUGAGUGCUAAGUGUUAGGGGGUUUCCGCCCCUUAGUGCUGCAGCUAACGCAUUAAGCACUCCGCCUGGGGAGUACGGUCGCAAGACUGAAACUCAAAGGAAUUGACGGGGGCCCGCACAAGCGGUGGAGCAUGUGGUUUAAUUCGAAGCAACGCGAAGAACCUUACCAGGUCUUGACAUCCUCUGACAACCCUAGAGAUAGGGCUUUCCCUUCGGGGACAGAGUGACAGGUGGUGCAUGGUUGUCGUCAGCUCG
rnacentral:rRNA from 1 species